UACGUAGGGGCUAGCGUUAUCCGGAAUUACUGGGCGUAAAGGGUGCGUAGGUGGUUUCUUAAGUCAGAGGUGAAAGGCUACGGCUCAACCGUAGUAAGCCUUUGAAACUGGGAAACUUGAGUGCAGGAGAGGAGAGUGGAAUUCCUAGUGUAGCGGUGAAAUGCGUAGAUAUUAGGAGGAACACCAGUUGCGAAGGCGGCUCUCUGGACUGUAACUGACACUGAGGCACGAAAGUGUGGGGAGCAAACAGGAUUAGAUACCCCGGUAGUCCCUGAGCGGGCU
rnacentral:rRNA from 1 species